rnacentral:rRNA from 1 species
GACGAACGCUGGCGGCGUGCUUAACACAGGCAAGUCGAACGGUAAGGCCCUUCGGGGUACACGAGUGGCGAACGGGUGAGUAACACGUGGGUGAUCUGCCCUGCACUUCGGGAUAAGCUUGGGAAACUGGGUCUAAUACCGGAUAGGACCAUGGUCUGCAUGGAUUGUGGUGGAAAGCUUUUGCGGUGUGGGAUGGGCCCGCGGCCUAUCAGCUUGUUGGUGGGGUGAUGGCCUACCAAGGCGACGACGGGUAGCCGGCCUGAGAGGGUGUCCGGCCACACUGGGACUGAGAUACGGCCCAGACUCCUACGGGAGGCAGCAGUGGGGAAUAUUGCACAAUGGGCGCAAGCCUGAUGCAGCGACGCCGCGUGGGGGAUGACGGCCUCGGUUGGUAACCUACUUCUAGCAGGGACGAAGGGUAGGACUGACGGUACCUGUAGAAGAAGGACACCGG